AUGAAAUCCGCCAUUGUCAGCAUAAUACUGAGGAUUAUGAGGAUGAUAAAGAACAGGAACGUGAUGGGAAUGAUGGUGGCGAUGAUGAGGAUGAUAGUGAUGAUUCUGAAUGGAAACGACAUGGGUGGGGACAGGGACAGGGGUCUGAAUGGGAACAUGGAAAGGAGAUCCCGGGGGAGGGGGAGGAUAAACAUGCAUCAUAGACGGCGGAGGAGGAGGAGAAGGGAUGAGAAUACGAGGGGAUUGCUUGGGUGGAGGAGGAGGAGGAGGUCCAGG
rnacentral:misc_RNA from 1 species